rnacentral:rRNA from 1 species
AACGAACGCUGGCGGCAUGCCUAACACAUGCAAGUCGAACGAGACCUUCGGGUCUAGUUGCGCACGUCUGCGUAACGCGGGGGAACUUGCCCUUAGGUUAGCAAUAACUCCCCGAAAGGGGAGCUCAUACCGGAUGAUGUCAUCGCACCAAAGAUCUAUCGCCAUGGGGUGGGCGCGUGUUGGAUUAGCUAGUUGGUAGUGUAAUAGCCUGCUAAGGCGACGAUCCAUAGCUGGUGGGUGAGGAUGAUCAUCCACAAUGGGACUGCGACACGGCCCAGAGUCCUACGGGAGGCAGCAGUGGGGAAUAUUGGACGAGGAGCGAAAGCCUGAUCCAGCAACGCGGGGUGAGUGAUGAAGGCCUUAGGGUUGUAAAUCUCUUUUACCCGGGAUGAGAAUGACAGUACCGGGAGAAGAAGCUCCGGCUAACUCCGUG